GACGAACGCUGGCGGCGUGCUUAACACAUGCAAGUCGAACGGAAAGGCCCUGCUUUUGUGGGGUGCUCGAGUGGCGAACGGGUGAGUAACACGUGAGUAACCUGCCCUUGACUUUGGGAUAACUUCAGGAAACUGGGGCUAAUACCGGAUAGGAGCUCCUGCUGCAUGGUGGGGGUUGGAAAGUUUCGGCGGUUGGGGAUGGACUCGCGGCUUAUCAGCUUGUUGGUGGGGUAGUGGCUUACCAAGGCUUUGACGGGUAGCCGGCCUGAGAGGGUGACCGGCCACAUGGGGACUGAGAGACGGCCCAGACUCCUACGGGAGGCAGCAGUGGGGAGUAUUGCACAAUGGGCGGAAGCCUGAUGCAGCAACGCCGCGUGCGGGAUGACGGCCUUCGGGUUGUAAACCGCUUUCGCCUGUGACGAAGCGGGAGUGACGGUAAUGAGUAAAGAAGCACCGGCUAACUACGUG
rnacentral:rRNA from 1 species